rnacentral:rRNA from 1 species
GACGAACGCUGGCGGCGUGCCUAAUACAUGCAAGUCGAACGCAGUGGGGACGGGUGCGUAACACGUGGGUAACCUCCCAUCAGAGGGGAUAACACUUGGAAACAGCUGCUAAACCGAUACUGCUGGAUGGACCCGGUGUGCAUUAGCUAGUUGGUGAGGUAACGGCUCACCAUGGCCACGAUGCAUAGCCGAGCUGAGAGGAGGAGCGGCCACACUGGGACUGAGACACGGCCCAGACUCCUACGGGAGGCAGCAGGAGGGAAGCUUGGGCAAUGGACGAAAGUAUGACCGAGCAACGCCGCGGGAGUGAAGAAGGUUUUCGGAGCGUAAAGCUCUGGUGUUAGAGAAGCGGGAACUAAAGAGAAAGCCACGGCUAACUACGUGCCAGCAGCCGCGGUAAUAG